rnacentral:lncRNA from 1 species
AGGGUUAAACCACUGUUAAGGAAUCGAACUCAGUCUUCUGAACUUCCCUCCGAGGCAAAGCUCCUCUCUGCCAGGCUGGACCCUCUUUCUGGAGGGAUUUCAUUUUGGAAGACAUGGAUCUUGCUGCUAAUGAGAUCAGCAUCUAUGACAAACUUUCAGAGACUGUUGAUUUGGUGAGACAGACAGGCCAUCAGUGUGGAAUGUCCGAGAAGGCGAUUGAAAAGUUUAUCAGACAGCUACUCGAAAAGAAUGAACCUCAAAGGGGACCACCCCAGUACCCUCUCCUUAUAGCCAUGUAUAAGACUUUGACCCCUGGUCAUCAAAUAAUUGUGAACAGAACGAGUCAGAGCCCAUUCCUGCCAACUGCACUGUCUGCGCCCAGAUUCUACCCCUCAAGGUAACGCUCCCAGAAGACACUCCCAAGAACUUUGAGAGACUCCGUCCUCUGGUGAUCAAGACAGGACAGCCUCUGUUGUCUGCAGAGAUUCAGAGCUUCUCUUGUCAGUACCCUGAAGUCACAGAGGGCUUCACCGAGGGCGUUCUCACCAAGUGGUGGCGCUGCUUUCCUGAGAGGUGGUUCCCGUUUCCUUACCCAUGGAGAAGACCUCUAAACAGAUCACAGAUUUUACGGGAACUUUUCCCAGUUUUUACCCAACUUCCAUUUCCAAAAGAUGCCUCCUUAAACAAGUGCUUCCUGAUC